rnacentral:tRNA from 1 species
UGUCCGGAUGGCGUAGUGGUCAGCACAUCUGCCUAGUAAGCAGGAGACCUGGGUUCGAAUCCCAGUCCGACAC